rnacentral:rRNA from 1 species
GACGAACCGUGCGAACGUUAUUCGGAAUCACUGGGCUUAAAGCGCGUGUAGGCGGGCCGGCACGUCGGUCGCUGAAAUCCCCCGGCUUAACCGGGGAACUGGCGUCGAUACGACCGCCCUGGAGGGGCGUAGGGGGACCUGGAACUUCCGGUGGAGCGGUGAAAUGCGUAGAGAUCGGAAAGAACACCAACGGCGAAAGCACUCUGCUGGGCCGACACUGACACUGAGAGACGAAAGCUAGGGGAGCGAAUGGG